AGAGCGAACGCUGGCGGCAGGCUUAACACAUGCAAGUCGAGCGCCCCGCAAGGGGAGCGGCAGACGGGAGAGUAACACGUGGGAACGUACCUUUCGGUUCGGAACAACCCAGGGAAACUUGGGCUAAUACCGGAUACGUCCGUAAGGAGAAAGAUUUAUCGCCGAAAGAUCGGCCCGCGUCUGAUUAGCUAGUUGGUGAGGUAACGGCUCACCAAGGCGACGAUCGGUAGCUGGUCUGAGAGGAUGAUCAGCCUCACUGGGACUGAGACACGGCCCAGACUCCUACGGGAGGCAGCAGUGGGGAAUAUUGGACAAUGGGCGCAAGCUUGAUCCAGCCAUGCCGCGUGGGUGAUGAAGGCCCUAGGGUUGUAAAGCCCUUUCGGCGGGGAAGAUAAUGACGGUACCGCAAGAAUAAGCCCGGCUAACUUCGCGCCAGCAGCCGC
rnacentral:rRNA from 1 species